GACGUAGGGGGCGAGCGUUGUCCGGAUUUAUUGGGCGUAAAGAGCUCGUAGGCGGCUCAGUAAGUCGGAUGUGAAAACUCCAGGCUCAACCUGGAGACGCCAUUCGAUACUGCCGUGACUAGAGGUCGGUAGGGGAGUGUGGAAUUCCUGGUGGAGCGGUGAAAUGCGCAGAUAUCAGGAGGAACACCCGUAGCGAAGGCGGCACUCUGGGCCGAUACUGACGCUGAGGAGCGAGAGCGUGGGGAGCGAACCGG
rnacentral:rRNA from 1 species